rnacentral:rRNA from 1 species
UACGUAGGGGGCAAGCGUUGUCCGGAUUUAUUGGGCGUAAAGAGCGUGUAGGCGGUCAGAUAGGUCCGUUGUGAAAACUCGAGGCUCAACCUCGAGACGCCGAUGGAAACCAUCUGACUAGAGUCCGGAAGAGGAGAGUGGAAUUCCUGGUGUAGCGGUGAAAUGCGCAGAUAUCAGGAAGAACACCCGUGGCGAAGGCGGCUCUCUGGGACGGUACUGACGCUGAGACGCGAAAGCGUGGGGAGCGAACAGG